rnacentral:lncRNA from 1 species
UGAGAGUCUCAAACCUCACUCAGCCCUUGCAGAACCAGCCCACUUUCUGCUCUUCCGAGGGCAUGGCCCUCUGACAAGGUGGCUCCCCAGAGUGAGCCUGUCUACCUUCUCCACCCUCUGAUGGGCUCCCCUGGGACUGCGAUGGAGAGCCCCUCCCUCAUUGAGGAAGUCAGUGCUGUGAGGUGCAACAGGACACCUGGGCCCAGUGACAGUGACUCACUAUGUGCCCUCUGGGCAAGUUAUUUUGUCUCCUUGGUUCCUUCCUCUUUCAGAACUGGAACAGACUCCUUGUAGCUAUAAAGAUUUGAUGGGAUGCUGUGGAGCCCAGAAUGAAGCAGUUUACCAUUGCAAAGGUAUUUCGUCCAGCCACUGGGUAAUUCAGUCAAUGGACAUUUGCUGAACAGCACUGUCAGGACAGAAGUGGAUUGCUUUUCACCCGCUGCGCCUGUGGAUUGGAAGCUCUUUGAGGACAGCUUCUCAUUCCAGGCUGAAUCCCGGGACACAUGGUGACGGGAAAGAGAGAGCGACAGACAAGCCAUGGCUCACACAGAUGAACACACACAGGCCAACAUGCUUGUGCUCUGCUUCCUUUCAAAGUUUAGUUGCAGGUGUGAGGCGCAAGGACUGAGGGGGGCCGUGGGCUGAGAAGCAUGAUGUCCCCGGAAAGGACGUAUGAGAAUGAAUGACAGCAUUUGGGAAGACAGGAGGAUGGCCCUUCUUGGUCACCCACCCACAAAGGCUCUUUUGGGAGAGAAUGAAGCUCUUGCAUUCAGGUGACCUAGGGAUCCCAGAGACGGGGUAUAGAGGCUGCAGGAGUGAGAAUGGAAAGUACCAUCUUUCCAGCAGUGAAAAAGCCCUUUGGUCACUUGACAUCCUGCCAUCCUGCUCUGGGCCGCUGCUGAGCUUACCUCCGUCUUGUGGAUGAGCACCAACAACACAGACGACCUGCUUCUGCUCCUGAUGCACAGCUGUGGGCAAUGGAGGCAAGUGGGUGUAGGAGCAAUGGGAAGGGCAGGCUUAUGGUCAGAGUGUGCCCAUUCCCCAAGGAAUUGUUAGUUUGCUUUUUCAAUACUUACCACAUCACAAACUCAGAAUUCACAAAGCAUGAAGGCAAAUGUCAAUGUAUAUUAUGAAAUGUGCCUGUCUCUCACCCCUCCUCCCCCUCCCUAUAGUCAUCCAGUUGUCCUUACUGAUAUUCUCAGUUUUUCAAGAUGAGACUGUAAUGGAAAGUUUAAGCUUGUACAACCAGAUGUGUUAGCUUUGAGUUCCAAAUAUGCUGCUUGUACCGUGCUAUGUUCUCUUAGUGAUUGACAGUCUCUUCCAUGCGAGUCUGCGCCAGUCUCCUCAGUUGGGUUCUGUUUGUUAGCUGCAUAGUGCUUCCCCAUGUUGCUGGGGAAGUCACCCCAGUACCUAUCUAAAGAGCCAGACUCCAGCCUUUUGGGGGAGCCCCUGUUUUACUAAUAACAAAGGGUAUUGUGACAUGAAGGAACAUCAGUCUUGUGCUGCCCAGCAUUGUCACUACUAACUACACUGCAAUUCCACACAUAUGGCUGGUCCAGUCAAGACUGGCUACAAAGGUACGAUGCAAACUAGACUUUGGGGAUUUAAUUUUAAAAUGUAAACCAUCUUAUUUAAUAUUUUUUAACAUUUAUUGCAUGUCAAAUUAUUUUUUAAA